UUCAUUAGGAUGCAUGCAAGGGGAAGGAGAUAGAAAUGAAUGGCAGGAGGAAGCAUGGGGAUGCGUCUGAAUACAACAGUACCAUUUAUCUCCAGGGCAUACGUUCCAACAUCUCCAGUGAAAGCCUGAAACCAGUUCCAAACCUGACUGGCAUCAUUUGGAACACGUUUCUGUUCGUCUCUCCCAUACAGAAAUUUAAUGCCUUUUCCAUCCUAAUUAAGCGCUUAUCAUGUACUGCGGCUGUAACUUGUGCAGUUUGAAGGGCCACAGCAAAACUAGCAGGAAUUUUUUUCUUCUUUCAUGGAUCGAACGUUCUUUCUUACCAUAGAUCUUAGCAAACUCGGCAUAUGAUUUUUUUUCUUUCUCUAUUAAGUUGAAAACUUUCACCUUUUCACUUAAAGGAAACACUUUACGGCUUCUCUUUGGAAAACCCGAAUUGCCAGCAUCACUACUCUUGUGCUUUGGGGCCGUUAUGAAGUAAAAUAAGAGUUCCUUGAGCACACAGCACUUUGAUGCCCAACAGGUGAUCUGAUAACCUAGACGGUCACUAAGUGACUAAUAGUAGGUGGUGUAGACAACGUGGAGAUGCUGGACAGUGGGAAGAUUCACUCCCUUGGUGAGAUGGAGCAAAGAUGGCAUGAGAUUUCAUCGCGCUACUCAGAACUGUGUGGAAUUUCAAACUUAUCAAUUGUUUAUUUCUGGAAUUUUCCCUUCAGUGAAACCAAGGAAAGCAAUAUCACAGAUAAAGGGGAUUUCCGAAUAUAUAAACAAAAAGCAUUUACUGAAUACAAGAAUAAACUAUUUCUGCUCCUCUCUGGCUUAAAACUAUUCUGAGAGUUCCCCUUAAGAGGAUAGCACCUGUUAAAUGGAAAAGUGAUUAGCUAUUAUAAGUUUAGAAAAAACACAACAAACUACCAUAGAAUCUUUAUUCAUAAAAAUCCUUAAAACGAGAAUGAAAUAAUCACUUUCAUUCAUUUCAUACUAGCGUGUAUUGUGCCCAGUCUUUUUAAAUACGGUGUCAUCCAGGCAAAGCUGAAUGAGACAUGAAGCCUACCCUCUCUUCCUGUUCCAGAAAGCUCCUGGUUAGAAUUUUACUAAAGGAACUCCCCUUAACGUACUCUUCCUGUAAAAUUUUCUUUCUUUCUCCCUCAUCACCUUCAUUAGUUGUCUCUUUAUUUGUAUUUUGUUUGAAUGCUUGCUGGUCUUAAUUGUUGAAUAUAAUGUUUCAUUUAUUAUAAACUGCCUC
rnacentral:lncRNA from 1 species